GCAAGUCAUCAUGGGAGAGUCUUUGAAGAUUAUCCAAGCUCUUGGUUCUUGCCUUGCACCCUGCUUCCUGCUCUACUGUCAUGUGACCAGGCUUACCCUAGCCUUGGGCAAAUCCCUUCUGGUGGAGACUCAACCUAACUUUGCUAACAUCACUCGUCCCUGGAGCAAGGACUACAUGUCAAAGCCACCAGCUGCUGUGUUGUUCCCCUCUCUGUCUGCUUAGGAUACCUGUGACUGACCUAGUUCUGAUUCGAGGAUGCCCAAGUGGUCCAGGAGGCCAGAGUAAGGCCAAAAUGGGGCAAAUAUGAGCUAGAGAUCAAAGUCAGGAAGCCAGUAAAGCAUGGAAACUCUAAAGAGCCCAGUUCAAAGGGCCCUGAGGUCCCCAACAAAGACUGGAUGUGCUGACUCACUGGGCCUGGUGUCAGGCCAGACUGUCCUCCCCGCCUCCCCAUGGACCUCAUGGGCACCCACGUCCUGUGCUGUUUCUGUCUACUUGAGCAAUUCUUGCCAUAUUCCUGGCUCUUGCUUCUCAGUCGUAAGCAUCUUUUCAUAAGAACAAGCCCCUCAGGGUUCCCUUGGCACUGCAAAUACGUGCAAAUAAAACCACAGAUAAG
rnacentral:lncRNA from 1 species